rnacentral:tRNA from 15 species
CAUUAGAUGACUGAAAGCAAGUACUGGUCUCUUAAACCAUUUAAUAGUAAAUUAGCACUUACUUCUAAUGA